UACAGAGGUCUCAAGCGUUGUUCGGAUUCAUUGGGCGUAAAGGGUGCGUAGGCGGCGCGGUAAGUCGGGUGUGAAAUCUCGGAGCUUAACUCGAAACUGCAUUCGAUACUGCCGUGCUUGAGGACUGGAGAGGAGACUGGAAUUUACGGUGUAGCGGUGAAAUGCGUAGAUAUCGUAAGGAAGACCAGUGGCGAAGGCGGGUCUCUGGACAGUUCCUGACGCUGAGGCACGAAGGUCAGGGGAGCAAACGGG
rnacentral:rRNA from 1 species